rnacentral:rRNA from 1 species
GACGAACGCUGGCGGCGUGCUUAACACAUGCAAGUCGAGCGGGGAUAUUAAUUGGAAAGCUUCGGCCGGAAGAUUGAUAUUCUAGCGGCGGACGGGUGAGUAACGCGUGAGCAAUCUGUCCUACACAGGGGGAUAACACUUGGAAACAGGUGCUAAUACCGCAUAAGACCACGAGGCGACAUCGCCACGGGGUAAAAGAUUUAUCGGUGUAGGGUGAGCUCGCGUCCGAUUAGCUAGCUGGUGAGGUAACGGCCCACCAAGGCGACGAUCAGUAGCCGACCUGAGAGGAUGAACGGCCACAUUGGGACUGAGAUACGGCCCAGACUCCUACGGGAGGCAGCAGUGGGGAAUAUUGGGCAAUGGGGGAAACCCUGACCCAGCAACGCCGCGUGAAGGAAGAAGGCCUUCGGGUUGUAAACUUCUUUUACCAGGGACGAAGAACGUGACGGUACCUGGAGAAAAAGCGACGGCUAACUACGUG